rnacentral:rRNA from 1 species
ACUGGAAACGGUGGCUAAUACCGCAUAACGUCGCAAGACCAAAGAGGGGGACCUUCGGGCCUCUUGCCAUCAGAUGUGCCCAGAUGGGAUUAGCUAGUUGGUGAGGUAACGGCUCACCAAGGCGACGAUCCCUAGCUGGUCUGAGAGGAUGACCAGCCACACUGGAACUGAGACACGGUCCAGACUCCUACGGGAGGCAGCAGUGGGGAAUAUUGCACAAUGGGCGCAAGCCUGAUGCAGCCAUGCCGCGUGUAUGAAGAAGGCCUUCGGGUUGUAAAGUACUUUCAGCGGGGAGGAAGGUGUUGUGGUUAAUAACCGCAGCAAUUGACGUUACCCGCAGAAGAAGCACCGGCUAACUCCGUGCCAGCAGCCGCGGUAAUACGGAGGGUGCAAGCGUUAAUCGGAAUUACUGGGCGUAAAGCGCACGCAGGCGGUCUGUCAAGUCGGAUGUGAAAUCCCCGGGCUCAACCUGGGAACUGCAUUCGAAACUGGCAGGCUUGAGUCUUGUAGAGGGGGGUAGAAUUCCAGGUGUAGCGGUGAAAUGCGUAGAGAUCUGGAGGAAUACCGGUGGCGAAGGCGGCCCCCUGGACAAAGACUGACGCUCAGGUGCGAAAGCGUGGGGAGCAAACAGGAUUAGAUACCCUGGUAGUCCACGCCGUAAACGAUGUCUACUUGGAGGUUGUGCCCUUGAGGCGUGGCUUCCGGAGCUAACGCGUUAAGUAGACCGCCUGGGGAGUACGGCCGCAAGGUUAAAACUCAAAUGAAUUGACGGGGGCCCGCACAAGCGGUGGAGCAUGUGGUUUAAUUCGAUGCAACGCGAAGAACCUUACCUGGUCUUGACAUCCACGGAAGUUUUCAGAGAUGAGAAUGUGCCUUCGGGAACCGUGAGACAGGUGCUGCAUGGCUGUCGUCAGCUCGUGUUGUGAAAUGUUGGGUUAAGUCCCGCAACGAGCGCAACCCUUAUCCUUUGUUGCCAGCGAUUAGGUCGGGAACUCAAAGGAGACUGCCAGUGAUAAACUGGAGGAAGGUGGGGAUGACGUCAAGUCAUCAUGGCCCUUACGACCAGGGCUACACACGUGCUACAAUGGCGCAUACAAAGAGAAGCGACCUCGCGAGAGCAAGCGGACCUCAUAAAGUGCGUCGUAGUCCGGAUUGGAGUCUGCAACUCGACUCCAUGAAGUCGGAAUCGCUAGUAAUCGUGGAUCAGAAUGCCACGGUGAAUACGUUCCCGGGCCUUGUACACACCGCCCGUCACACCAUGGGAGUGGGUUGCAAAAGAAGUAGGUAGCUUAACCUUCGGGAGGGCGCUUACCACUUUGUGAUUCAUGACUGGGGUGAAGUCGUAACAAGGUAACCGUAGGGGAACCUGCGGUUGGAUCACCUCCUUACCUUAAAGAAGC